rfam:Schistosoma margrebowiei strain Zambia genome assembly, scaffold: SMRZ_contig0001208
GGUUUUUUGUAUUCGUGCUGAGAUUUCGCCAGACAACAGGCCAUCAAUAAUGAUGAGGCUCUCAAGAUAAGCGGAGUG